ACGCGGUAAACGAUGAAUACUAGGUGUCAGGGAGCACAGCUCUUUGGUGCCGCAGCAAACGCAAUAAGUAUUCCACCUGGGGAGUACGGUCGCAAGAUUAAAACUCAAAGGAAUUGACGGGGGCCCGCACAAGCAGCGGAGCAUGUGGUUUAAUUCGAAGCAACGCGAAGAACCUUACCUAGACUUGACAUCUCCUGAAUUACUCUGUAAUGGAGGAAGCCGCUUCGGUGGCAGGAAGACAGGUGGUGCAUGGUUGUCGUCAGCUCGUGUCGUGAGAUGUUGGGUUAAGUCCCGCAACGAGCGCAACCCUUAUCCUUAGUAGCCAGCACGUUAUGGUGGGCACUCUGGGGAGACUGCCAGGGAUAACCUGGAGGAAGGUGGGGAUGACGUCAAAUCAUCAUGCCCCUUAUGAUUUGGGCUACACACGUGCUACAAUGGCGUAAACAAAGGGAAGCGAGAGGGUGACCUGGAGCAAAUCCCAAAAAUAACGUCCCAGUUCGGACUGUAGUCUGCAACCCGACUACACGAAGCUGGAAUCGCUAGUAAUCGCGGAUCAGAAUGCCGCGGUGAAUACGUUCCCGGGUCUUGUACACAUCGCCCGUCACACCAUGGGAGUCUGUAACGCCCGAAGUCAGUGACCUAACCGAAAGGAAGGAGCUGCCGAAGGCGGGACCGAUGANUGGGGUG
rnacentral:rRNA from 1 species